rnacentral:rRNA from 1 species
GGAGCACGCCGCGUGAGCGAUGAAGGCCUUCGGGUCGUAAAGCUCUGUUGUUAGGGAAGAACAAGUACCGUUCGAAUAGGGCGGUACCUUGACGGUACCUAACCAGAAAGCCACGGCUAACUACGUGCCAGCAGCCGCGGUAAUACGUAGGUGGCAAGCGUUGUCCGGAAUUAUUGGGCGUAAAGCGCGCGCAGGCGGUCCUUUAAGUCUGAUGUGAAAGCCCACGGCUCAACCGUGGAGGGUCAUUGGAAACUGGGGGACUUGAGUACAGAAGAGGAAAGUGGAAUUCCACGUGUAGCGGUGAAAUGCGUAGAGAUGUGGAGGAACACCAGUGGCGAAGGCGACUUUCUGGUCUGUAACUGACGCUGAGGCGCGAAAGCGUGGGGAGCAAACAGGAUUAGAUACCCUGGUAGUCCACGCCGUAAACGAUGAGUGCUAAGUGUUAGAGGGUUUCCGCCCUUUAGUGCUGAAGUUAACGCAUUAAGCACUCCGCCUGGGGAGUACGGUCGCAAGACUGAAACUC